rnacentral:snRNA from 1 species
UUGGAGUGGGACUAUCCUAGCGAACUCACCUCUUGCCUUUUACCAGAGAUGACCGUGGGACGGCCCAACAAACUCCACUCCCUAAUCUUUGGCACCCAAUCUACGAAUCCGCUG